GACGAACGCUGGCGGCGUGCUUAACACAUGCAAGUCGAACGCUGAAGCACCAGCUUGCUGGUGUGGAUGAGUGGCGAACGGGUGAGUAAUACGUGAGUAACCUGCCCUUGACUCUGGGAUAAGCCCGGGAAACUGGGUCUAAUACUGGAUGCUACAUGUCACCGCAUGGUGGUGUGUGGAAAGGGUUUACUGGUCUUGGAUGGGCUCACGGCCUAUCAGCUUGUUGGUGAGGUAAUGGCUCACCAAGGCGACGACGGGUAGCCGGCCUGAGAGGGUGACCGGCCACACUGGGACUGAGACACGGCCCAGACUCCUACGGGAGGCAGCAGGGGGGAAUAUUGCACAAUGGGCGAAAGCCUGAUGCAGCGACGCCGCGUGAGGGAUGACGGCCUUCGGGUUGGAAACCUCUUUCAGCAGGGAAGAAGCCACAAGUGACGGUACCUGCAGAAGAAGCGCCGGCUAACUACGUG
rnacentral:rRNA from 1 species